rnacentral:rRNA from 1 species
GUGUCAGCAGCCGCGGUAAGACGUAGGAGGCGAGCGUUGUCCGGAGUUACUGGGCGUAAAGCGCGCGCAGGCGGUCACGCAGGUCAUCUGUGAAAGCACUCGGCUCAACCGGGAUGUUGCGGGUGAAACCGCGUGACUUGAGGGUGGGAGAGGUCGGUGGAAUUCCCGGUGUAGUGGUGAAAUGCGUAGAGAUCGGGAGGAACACCCGUAGCGAAGGCGGCCGACUGGACCACACCUGACGCUGAGGCGCGAAGGCCAGGGGAGCGAACGGGAUUAGAUACCCCGGUAGUCCUGGCAGUAAACGAUGUCGACUGGCCGUCGGGGGGCUCGACCCCUUCGGCGGCGGAGCUAACGCGGGAAGUCGACCGCCUGGGGAGUACGGCCGCAAGGCUAAA